rnacentral:rRNA from 1 species
UACGUAGGGCGCAAGCGUUGUCCGGAAUUAUUGGGCGUAAAGAGCUCGUAGGCGGUCUGUCACGUCUGCCGUGAAAACCCGAGGCUUAACCUCGUGGCUUGCGGUGGAUACGGGCAGACUAGAGGUAGGUAGGGGAGAACGGAAUUCCCGGUGUAGCGGUGAAAUGCGCAGAUAUCGGGAGGAACACCGGUGGCGAAGGCGGGUCUCUGGGCAGUAACUGACGCUGAGGAGCGAAAGCGUGGGGAGCAAACAGG